rnacentral:tRNA from 1 species
GCGGGAAUAGCUCAGUUGGUAGAGCACAACCUUGCCAAGGUUGGGGUCGCGGGUCCGAGUCCCGUUUCCCGCUCAA